rnacentral:rRNA from 1 species
AGAGUUUGAUCCUGGCUCAGAUUGAACGCUGGCGGCAUGCCUUACACAUGCAAGUCGAACGGCAGCACGGGAGCAAUCCUGGUGGCGAGUGGCGAACGGGUGAGUAAUAUAUCGGAACGUGCCCAGUCGUGGGGGAUAACGUAGCGAAAGCUACGCUAAUACCGCAUACGAUCUAUGGAUGAAAGCGGGGGAUCGCAAGACCUCGCGCGAUUGGAGCGGCCGAUAUCAGAUUAGCUAGUUGGUGGGGUAAAGGCCCACCAAGGCGACGAUCUGUAGCUGGUCUGAGAGGACGACCAGCCACACUGGGACUGAGACACGGCCCAGACUCCUACGGGAGGCAGCAGUGGGGAAUUUUGGACAAUGGGCGCAAGCCUGAUCCAGCAAUGCCGCGUGCAGGACGAAGGCCUUCGGGUUGUAAACUGCUUUUGUACGGAACGAAACGGCCCCUUCUAAUACAGGGGGCUAAUGACGGUACCGUAAGAAUAAGCACCGGCCAACUACGUGCCAGCAGCCGCGGUAAUACA